UAAACAUGGAAGGCAGAAACUGAAAAGCUGGUUGGCGGAGAACGCAGGCAGUUCAGCAAGAGCAGAGACCACCACCUACUGGUCCAUUCAAUUAUCACUUGAGUGGCUGCUUUCAAGGACAUUUCCUAUAUGCAAGGCAAUCAGUCACAUUUGAGUUCCCUGAGCUAUUUUCUAUUGAAGCUUGGUCACUGUGGAAAACAGGAGAUGCAUUGAUGAGGGCAUUGGCAUACAUACCCCUUAAUGAUUUUUCUUGCUGUUUUGCCACUGUAAUGCGCUGUACUAGAUGCUAAAGUCGUUCAUUUUUAAUUAAAACUUUCUGCCAUGCCCCACCUGAAUAUUUGGGACCACUGGUGGUCCACAGACCAUACCUUUGGGCAAUACUGGUCUAUAGCAAACCUGAUUCAAAUGAGAUCCAGUUUAGGACUCAAAUGAGAAACAUCCUUUAUGUUCUUACACAUUCCCACAUUCCUGGGAGAAUGCCCAUAAGCCAUGCAUUACAGGAACUAAUACUUGGCUACCUCAUCACAGGGUUGUGAGGAUAAAGUGGGAAUGAAGAGAAACAAGUAUGCCACCUUGAGGUGCUUGGAGGAAAGGUGGGG
rnacentral:lncRNA from 1 species